GAUGAACGCUGGCGGCGUGCCUAAUACAUGCAAGUCGAGCGAACGGACGAGAAGCUUGCUUCUCUGAUGUUAGCGGCGGACGGGUGAGUAACACGUGGAUAACCUACCUAUAAGACUGGGAUAACUUCGGGAAACCGUAGCUAAUACCGGAUAAUAUUUUGAACCGCAUGGUUCAAAAGUGAAAGACGGUCUUGCUGUCACUUAUAGAUGGAUCCGCGCUGCAUUAGCUAGUUGGUAAGGUAACGGCUUACCAAGGCAACGAUGCAUAGCCGACCUGAGAGGGUGAUCGGCCACCCUGAAACUGAGACCCGGUCCAGACUCCUCCGGGAGGCGGCAGUAGGGAUUCUCCCGCAAGGGGCGAAGGCCUGCCGGAGCACCCCCGCGUGAGUGAUGAAGGUCUUCGGUCCGUAAAACUCUGUUAUUGGGGAAGACCAUUUGUGUAAGUAACGGUGCACAUCUUGCCGGUCCCUAUCAGAAAGCCACGGCUAACUACGU
rnacentral:rRNA from 1 species